rnacentral:rRNA from 1 species
AGACCGGUCUACUGGUCGUGCUUUUGUACGUACUGGUUUUAUUGGUUUCUCCUUUCUGACGAACUAUAAUGCCAUUAAUUUGGUGUUAUGGGGAAUCAGGACUGUUACUUUGAAAAAAUUAGAGUGUUUAAAGCAGGCUCACGCUUGAAUACAUUAGCAUGGAAUAAUGAAAUAGGACGUUUGAUUCUAUUUUGUUGGUUUCUAGGAUCGACGUA